AUGAAUCCCACAGCUCAUGAUCAGACAACACAGCAACAAAAACCAAAUGGCCGAAGAGCAGUUGGUAGCUCGCAAACCUGGACACGGUAUGGUGUUCUGCUACCAAGCCAGCAGACACGGAAGCAAAAAGAAUGGAUUCUAACUGAUGAACAACAACAAGUAGUCAAUGCUAGUGGUCUUGGACAUCUUGCUCUUACGACAGGAUUUACCAUUGACCGUUCCUUGCUUACAGCCUUCUGUGAGAGAUGGAACAACGAAACAAAUACUGCACAUUUCAUGGGAUUUGAAAUGGCACCGUCUCUCCGUGAUGUAUCAUAUAUUCUAGGAAUCCCAGUGACUGGUCAUGUGGUGACGGCAGAACCCAUCGGUGAUGAAGCUGUGAAUCGCAUGUGCUUGCAUUACUUAGGAGAGAGCCCUGGAAGCGGAGAGCAACUAUGUGGAUUGAUCAGAUUAACCUGGUUGUACAGGAAAUUCCAUCAACUGCCAGAAAACCCCACCAUCAAUGACAUUGCAUUCAGCACCCGGGCGUACCUUCUAUAUUUGGUUGGCUCCACCUUAUUUCCCGACACAAUGAGGGGAUUUGUAUCCCCAAGAUACCUACCACUUUUGGGGGAUUUCAGGAAGAUACAUGAGUAUGCUUGGGGGGCUGCAGCCCUUGCUCAUUUGUACAGAGGAUUGUCUGUCGUAACACCAAAUGCUACUACCCAGUUUCUCGGCGGUGCAACUUUGCUCAUGGCUUGGAUUUAUGAGUAUAUUCCUUUGACUCAACCCCAACAAAAGAAUCAGAACACGUUGCUGCCCCGGGCAUGCCGAUGGAACUUUGGAGGAACAACACGUGGGCAGAGAAAGAAAGUUAUGGAAUGGAGAAAGGAUUUCGAGCAGCUUCAGUUGUCCGAUGUCAACUGGAAUCCUUACAAGGACAUAAAUCCAGCGAUUGUUCCAGGAUAUUGCAUCGCAGCAGAUAACAUUUGCCACUCUCGGACAUGGCUAAUCAGCUUUAACAUAAAAGAGGUGUAUGUACCUGACCGGUUCAAUAGGCAGUUUGGGAGGGAGCAAGGUCGCCUCUAUCAGGUGCCAAUGUGGGCAAGAAGAACUUGGAGUAAGGGGAAAGACUGGAGGGUUGAGUAUGCUCGUGAGAUUGAGGACUUCCAUCAAUUGGUUGGUUGUCGUUUUAUCCCUUCUACGGAAGCUAACAUAAACUCCCUCCCGAAUGAGUCUAUAGCUGGACAGAGUACUACCAGAUGCAGCCGGAAUGCAUCUCAAAACUUCUCUAUGAUGGUUGAAGAUUUAAAGAAUGAUCUCCCGGUAAUUGAUCGUUAUCUGGAGGGACAGGUGCUCCCCGUGGAGGUUGCAAGCUUCCUAGAGAGGGUGAGUACGAUGAUCAAAACUUACUUCCCACCGCAGAGCAAUGAAAGGAAAGACGAAGCAGCUCAGAGCAAGAAUGUCAGAGCAAAGAAUCCAAGAAAGAGGGUGAGAAAACCUUUGCUCUCUGAAGAUCCUUCAAGCCCUCAGGAUUCUGUGGUAGACCGGUAUGCAGGUGCGCUGGUGCCUUAUCAGGCUAGCAAGUGUGACAGGGUGUUGGAUGGCACCGUGCCUCUGCUAAACAGAGGGGAAGCGUUGAAGGAAAACGAGGUGAUGGAUCCCUGGCAAAUGUCGCAUUUGACAGCAGAGUCGUCUUCCUCUGGAGACUCGAGCUUGCCGGAAUCAAGGAGGCGGGGGUGUGAGGAAUCCGGAACCCCGAGGAGCAACCAGGGGGUCCGAAGGAGUGGAAGGAUGUGCGUGCAGCUCAAGAUGUUCAAGCACAGGGACGGGGUUGGGGCCGAGGAGACCAACCGGAUCUUCCUCUGA
rnacentral:rRNA from 1 species